rnacentral:rRNA from 1 species
AUACGUAGGGGGCGAGCGUUGUCCGGAAUUACUGGGUGUAAAGGGAGCGUAGGUGGGACUGCAAGUCAGAUGUGAAAUACCGGGGCUUAACCCCGGAGCUGCAUUUGAAACUGUGGUUCUUGAGUGAAGUAGAGGCAAGCGGAAUUCCCGGUGUAGCGGUGAAAUGCGUAGAGAUCGGGAGGAACACCAGUGGCGAAGGCGGGUAACUGGGCUGCAACUGACGCUGAGGCGCGAAAGUGUGGGGAGCAAACAGGAUUAGAUACCCUGGUAGUCCACACUGUAAACGAUGAAUGCUAGGUGUAAGAGGUAUCGACCCCUUUUGUGCCGGGGUUAACACAAUAAGCAUUCCGCCUGGGGAGUACGGCCGCAAGGUUGAAACUCAAAUGAAUUGACGGGG